GACGAACGCUGGCGGCGUGCUUAACACAUGCAAGUCGAACGAUGAACCCGGAGCUUGCUCUGGGGGAUUAGUGGCGAACGGGUGAGUAACACGUGAGUAACCUGCCCUUGACUCUGGGAUAAGCGUUGGAAACGACGGCUAAUACCGGAUAGGACCUUGGAUCGCAUGAUCUGGGGUGGAAAGUUUUUUCGGUCUGGUAUGGAUUCGCGGCCUCUCAGCUUGUUUGUUAGGUAACGGCUCACCAAGGCUACGACGGGUAGCCGGCCUGCACGGGUGCCCAGCCACGCUGGGGAUGAGGCACGGACCAGGCUCCUACGAGAGGCAGGCGAGGGGAAAAUUGCACAAGGAGCGAAGGCCUGAGGGAGCAACGCCGCGUGCGGGAUGACGGCCUUCGGGUUGUAAACCGCUUUUAGUAGGAAAGAAGGGCCUCGGCUUGACGGUACCUGCAGAAAAAGGACCGGCUAACUACGUG
rnacentral:rRNA from 1 species